rnacentral:rRNA from 1 species
AGUGAACGCUGGCGGCGUGCUUAACACAUGCAAGUCGAACGAGAACGGGUUAUAGCUUGCUAUAAUUGUCAGCUAAGUGGCGCACGGGUGAGUAAUGUAUAGGUAAUAUGCCUCUUACUAAGGGAUAACAAAUGGAAACGUUUGCUAAUACCUUAUACUCCUUAUUAACAGAAGUUAAUAAGGGAAAGAUUUAUUGGUAAGAGAUUAGCCUGUAUUGUAUCAGUUAGUUGGUGGGGUAAUGGCUUACCAAGACUAUGACACAUAACUGGUUUGAGAGGAUGAUCAGUCACACUGGAACUGAGACACAGUCCAGACUCCUACGGGAGGCAGCAGUGGGGAAUAUUGCACAAUGGACGAAAGUCUGAUGCAGCAACGCCGCGUGGAGGAUGACACAUUUCGGUGCGUAAACUCCUUUUAUAUGAGAAGAUAAUGACGGUAUUAUAUGAAUAAGCACCGGCUAACUCCGUGCCAGCAGCCGCGGUAA